CGUUGUGACGUCACUGGUGCGACACACCCCUCAUGAAAUUUCGUGGAAGGGACUUAAAUGACUUCCAUCCUCGAAACAAUUUGCUCUGCCGGCAAAGUGCCAUCGGCCUGCGCAGGAAAAAUGAAGGCUUUUAAGGAGCUGGUUGACAUCUGCCGGGGAGGAUCACUACAGGAGAAGUGAAUUAGCGUCUUUGACAGCUCUCCAGCACUUUCAGAGAAGGCGAUGAACUGCAGGCCUAUGUCCCCUUGGGACUCCCUUCCCCUUAGCCUCACUGUCGUGUAUGAGGAUACGCCAUAGUGGCAGACACUUAGUAGAGUACGAGGUGAACGGGGGAAACCUGACGAUCCUCGAGCUGUCUGCACUUGAAAGGGGUCUAUUGGGAAGGCACUGGCUGCUGCUCUGCUGACCCUGAGAUGCAUGAGUCCAGCCACUUUGACGUCUUUCAUUGACUGCCAAAGUGCAGAGUGACAUCUUGGGAUGAAGCUGUGGUGAAGCCCCCAUGUUUGCGAGCAGAGCUGAUGCUGGAGAUCCAAGCAGUGAACGGCAACUCGAGCUGCAGUGCCCGCCCCACGCCCCAUUCCCCACCCCACCGUGUCUAUUUCGCAUGCAACAUGUUCAUUUACCGCCCAGAUUGCUCUGUCUUUCUGCUUUCAUCUUCUAUGUGUAGAAUCCUCAAUGUCUCUGCUGUUUUUCAGUUUUAAGAAUCCUUUCAUGCCGAAUCAACAGAGAAGUUAUUCCCCGAAAGAUUUGUAUGCUUUGCGUCAGUGCAGUCAAAAUUUGGAUGUCUGGCAGAUUUUGUAUAUUUCAUGUGUCUGAUACUGUAUGUAAAUAAUGUGUGUUCUGUACAAAUGGCAUUCUCUUAAAGAGGGAGGUUUGACCUUCCUGCUAUUCUCACUGUGAAUGAUACCCCUUAGUAUGAAAUCCAGUUAUUUUUUGCUACCCCAGUGAGCCUGUUCGUGUCGUGUAUUCAUCAUUCAUGUCGCUGGGAGUUAAAGGCAUCCCACAAUGCCCCGAGUGGUAUUUCAGAGGGUAUGGACAACAGGAGGUACCCCUCAGCUCUGUUCUGCUCAUAUCCUGUGUUUCUUUCUUCCCCACAGCCUCCAGGCGGCUCCUCCGCUCCCUGCACUGGAGCUGCAUAAACAUUUUUUUCCUUUCUGUUCUUUUGUUCUCCAAACUUUGUUUUGACUCAGGGUUUGACCCAGAUGUGAAGAUAUUCUGAUGCACAUCUUCCCAUCGGCAUACUUCAGGUCCACUUCUUGCAUCUGGCAGCUCUCUCUGGAGCAAAGUCAUGUCUAAACUCGCCCUGCACCAGAAGUAACCCCUCGUGAGCCGGUCUGGGUGCCGCACCACACUUUUGGAUCAAGAACAGUUCAUGCGUCUCGCCUCUCAGCUGCUGUCUGCAGCACGCAAACUUUGGUUAUUUUUAUGCAUACAGCUCCUGUUUUAGAGCAUCAUUUACACGUCAAUCAAAAUAAAAGAGCAGCCUUUUAAAAAAAAAAAAAUCAAGCAAGCUUUGGUAAUAUGUCACAGAUGUGUCCGCCCACGCUGCUACUUAUCCGUCUGCGCGUGGGCCAUUACGGUUCAUAUCAGAACGAGAGGAUCAGAUUAUCGGACGCUUUCCAACAUCACACAAAGAGCCCAUGCUUCCAGCCUACUUUCACUUUUGCACAAGCACAUCUUCGUUUGGUCUGCUGAUAUUCCACACAUAUCUAAUAGAGACACUAAUCACGGUGCAGUCGUCUGUGAUUAACACAAGAACGCGAUCGAAUUAAGUGAAGAGAAGGGCGUUCAGUUCGGACUAAAUCUAGUUUGCACCGGAGCUUCAGCCUGGAUUGCCCUUCCCAACAAGCUGUUCUGUGUACUCAUAAAUCCUUGUUGAAACAAUGCAGAGUGCUAGUGUGAAAUUGUGUGUGAAAUUUACUUUCCACUGAACCUUUCUUCUUCUGCUGUAAACAAUGUAGUUUACACUGGUAUCCUAUGAAGUAUAAUUUUGCUUGUUUUGAAUCUGGCUUAUGGCUCAAACAAAAUGCAAAUUCCUGACCCUGCGUAAACUGCUUGUGUUGCAAAUGCUUUGAUUCAGACUUAAGUUCCCAUCCCCAAUUAUUAAGCUAUUAAAGAACAUGCAAACUCCACAGAGACUGAGCAGGGAUUUUAUCCAUGUACAGCUGCGCAGCCCAGCCCACUAGCGCUACCCACUGCACAUACACCAUGUACUGCAGCAGCGAAUUUCCCUUUAAAUAUCGAUGGUCACAUUUUCCAUUCUGAGGAUAAUAAAGUCCUUCACAUAAUGUCUGGAAUUUUGCGCUUCUGUAAUUUUCAUGUGAUGAGUCAGGGGCAUUUAGCAUUCAUUAAAGACUCAAUGUUUCA